GUGCCAGCCGCCGCGGUAAUACCAGCUCUCCGAGUGGUGGGGACGUUUAUUGGGCCUGAAGCAUCCGUAGCCAGCUGAGCAAGUCCCCAGUUAAAUCCAGCGAUUUAAUCGUUGGACUGCUGGGGAUACUGUCCGGCUAGGGGGUGGGAGAGGCCGACGGUAUUCCCGGGGUAGGGGUGAAAUCCUAUAAUCCCGGGAGGACCACCAGUGGCGAAGGCUGUUGGCUAGAACAUGCCCGACGGUGAGGGAUGAAAGCUGGGGGAGCGAACCGGAUUAGAUACCCGGGUAGUCCCAGCUGUAAACGAUGCAGGCUAGGUGUUAGGGCGGCCACGUGCCGCUCUAGUGCCGCAGGGAAGCUGUUAAGCCUGCCGCCUGGGGAGUACGGCCGCAAGGCUGAAACUUAAAUGAAUUGGCGGGG
rnacentral:rRNA from 1 species